UACGUAGGGUGCGAGCGUUGUCCGGAAUUAUUGGGCGUAAAGGGCUCGUAGGCGGUUUGUCGCGUCGGGAGUGAAAACCCAGGGCUUAACCCUGGGCUGGCUUCCGAUACGGGCAGACUAGAGGUAUGCAGGGGAGAACGGAAUUCCUGGUGUAGCGGUGAAAUGCGCAGAGUAUCAGGAGGAACACCGGUGGCGAAGGCGGCCUGCGUGGGCAGUUGCUGACACUGAGGCGCGACAGCG
rnacentral:rRNA from 1 species